GGGCCGGGCGUUGGUACGCGGAGCGGACUGUCACUCUGCUCUUGGGGGUUCGAUUCCCCUCCGGUCCA
rnacentral:tRNA from 1 species